rnacentral:rRNA from 1 species
CAGUAGCCGCGGUAAUGCGAAGGGGGCUAGCGUUGCUCGGAAUUACUGGGCGUAAAGGGAGCGUAGGCGGAUGUUUAAGUCAGAGGUGAAAGCCCAGGGCUCAACCUUGGAACUGCCUUUGAUACUGGACAUCUUGAGUGUGGGAGAGGUAAGCGGAACUCCGAGUGUAGAGGUGAAAUUCGUAGAUAUUCGGAAGAACACCAGUGGCGAAGGCGGCUUACUGGCCCAUUACUGACGCUGAGGCUCGAAAGCGUGGGGAGCAAACAGGAUUAGAGACCCCCGUAGUCCCUGUCUCUUAUAC